rnacentral:rRNA from 1 species
UACGUAGGGUGCGAGCGUUAAUCGGAAUUACUGGGCGUAAAGCGUGCGCAGGCGGUUCGUUGUGUCUGUGGUGAAAGCCCCGGGCUUAACCUGGGAAUGGCCAUGGAAACUGGCGAGCUGGAGUCUGGCAGAGGGGGGUGGAAUUCCGCGUGUAGCAGUGAAAUGCGUAGAGAUGCGGAGGAACACCGAUGGCGAAGGCAGCCCCCUGGGCCAAUACUGACGCUCAGGCACGAAAGCGUGGGGAGCAAACAGG